AAAUGGCCAAACCACGUGAUCUGUGGGAGGUGAGUCCUCAGACUCUGGAGGCCUCUGAAGUACAGAUGAACAGAGUACCUGGACCUGCUCUGGAGGGUCUCACCUGGAUCUGAGAAAAACGCAGAUGAGGUGAGAUGAAUCAUCACAUCAGAGAGAUGAGGCAAAUUCCCCCAGGCCACGUGGCCAGUGAUGACGAUGAUGAUACAGCUGACAUUUAAGCACCUGCUUGUGCCAGGCAUGGCUCUAACCACUUCACAUACAUUAACUCCUUUAAUCUUAACAGUCACUCCUGACAAGAGCAGGAGCCACCCCCACCUCCAGGUCCCUGGUGAGAAGCACCAUGGGGAGCAUUACCCCUCUGCAGACUGGCACAACUUCUGGGACAACCUCCAUGGUCAUAUGAAGUCCAUGAAGAAUUGAGAUGUUUCCUAAGAAGGGAGGAUAUCCACUGAGGACUGAGGCGAAUGAAAGGAGAACAGGCGUAGAAAAUGCCCAUGGUGAUGACAAAGUGUGUUAGUUGCCUGUUGCCAUGUAACAAAUUGUU